UCUAUAUAUAAAGCGAGCAGCCGUUUACUGUUCAUUUGGGGAAACUUUCGAACUUCCUAUUUUGCCCUUAAUAUUUCCUAUGAUUUACAGGGAAAUAGAAAGAAAGAGGUGGAUGGUUCUGGGUUUUGCCGACACAGAGAAAAGGCUAUCGAUGAGGAAACAAGAAGAAAUUCAGAGGAAGAAAGAAAAUGGGAGAAACAGAAGAAAAGAAAUGAAGAAGAUCGAAGAGGGAGACGGGAAGGAAAGAAAAGGCAGAGAAGAGAAAGUGAACGAGAGAAGGAGAAAUCGUAACGUCAAAAGAUGUCAAAAUGGCAUGGUUAAGUUUCUGAUAGGUUACAUAUUUUAAGUAGGCAUUCAGGUCAUAUUUCCUUCUCAUUCUCCUGGGGAUAUUAUGAAGUACUUUUGACUUAUAUUUCUUUCAAAAUUAUUAUGCUCUCUACAAGAGAGAUAAUGAUUUCAUCUUUUCCUAAUGCAAAGUUCUAACUUUGUGUUUCUUCUUGCAGAUCAUCAAUGUUAAUAGGUCGUUAUCGGAUACAUUUCCAAUCUAAUUCUUCAGUUAUUUAUGAAAAUGGUAGCUUUUUGUGAUUGA